GGGGUAUUAGCUCAGUUGGUUAGAGCGCUUGCAUGGCAUGCAAGAGGUCGGCGGUUCGAAUCCGCCAUACUCCACCA
rnacentral:tRNA from 1 species